rnacentral:lncRNA from 1 species
GUUAAACUGCAGAGGAACCCAACCUUCAGCAAUAGAGAGAGAAUAUUACAUGCUUACUCAGAAGUUAAAUUAUGCUAAAAAUACCAAGGAGGAAAAAUUAUCCUUUUGAGAAUCAAGCAUAAUAUGCUGAGAGUUUGAUGUAUGCUAGGCAGUGUGUUAACCAUGCUAUUAUUUUUUUUUUCAACAGUUCCAUGCAAUGUGUCCUUCUGCCUUCAUUUUAUGGUGUUCAAAGAAGGCAAACAACCUACCCAAGGCUUCAGUGAUAUAAAUCUAAAACAGAAUGUAUGUGUGAAGUUAUACUGUCACUCUUGGAAUGGAGGCUUUAAAUGGGACCUACUAGCCUGCGGUAAUUCUAUAUGAGGCAGUACUAUCAGUAAAUAGAUGGCAUGUCUGCAGAAUUAGAAGAGGCAUCUACCUUUACUGACAGUGUUUUGUGAAUCUGUGCUGUGUGGUGGUGGCUUGUGAGUGACAAUAGAUAAAGGUGGAACAGCCUGUGGCUAGCUGGUCUCAGAUGUUUAUCUGCUUGUAACUCACCUGUCUAUUUGGUAAGCUUCCUCGUUUAACUGUUACUCUGCUUGUAACUCACCCGUCUUUUCACUCAGUGAGUACUUCCAAGGGGCUUCCCUUUCCAUGCCCAGGAAACCUGCAGACUCAUCACACACCUAUCAAUAUCCCAGAUCACAAGCAGUCCAAUUCUGGAUAGGAGCCAGGGUCAUGCCUGUCAUGAAGAAUAGACAAGGAGGUUAUCUGUCUUCCUCACACAGUACUAUCUGAAGCAGACAACCAACUGAGAAGAAAAGUAAAAGCCAAUUGAUUGAUUUAUCAGACCAAAGAAAUCAUUCUUGUUAUUUUUCUAAUGAUCUUUGUUGUAUAUUUGGUCUGUCUCUGAAAAAAUAUAGCACUGCCUAAUACUACUGUUAAGCCUACCAGAUAAUUUUUGAAAAGUAGAUAAUAAGAGUUAGCAUUUAGAUUGGAAAUAUGUUCUAUACAUUCCACAUUUCAAGUAGAGAUGCAUGUCUCAAAAGAACACAAGGGAUGUUCCAAUCAAAUGUGUUUACUUCAUUAGAUAUUGAGACAAAGACGCUAAACUAUAAACACUGAAUUCUUGGUUCUGUGCUCUUGAUGUAUUUCCUUAAGGGUUGAUUUCUUCUUGGAUAAUAGUGGUAGCUUUGGGAUCCGCAAGGAGGGAAGGCCUAUACUUCCCGGAAUGGAGAGUCCCUACCUGUACUUCCAGAGAAGAAAAGUCCUUGUCAAGGUCCCUGCGGCUGCCUAAAGGUCAACAAAUGAGGAUCAGACCUGCCUCAACCUUUAACCCCCAUGCCCUAUAUCUAUAAAAGGAGCCCUCCAGCCUCUGACGCGUGACUUCCCCGGCCCCUGCUCUGUUGGGACCGGGGAACCUCGCCCUGGAGUGGAAUCCCUCUGCCUGGGAAGAUUUGCUAUACGCUGGACACCUUGCAAAUAGAUCAGAGUUUACUGCUGUUCUUAUGAGUUGUUGCAUUCUUUGAUAAUAAAACAGGGCUUAAAAUGUAGAAAUAUUUGGUA